UACGUAGGGCGCGAGCGUUGUCCGGAUUUAUUGGGCGUAAAGAGCUCGUAGGCGGCUUGUUGCGUCGGCUGUGAAAUCCCAUGGCUCAACUGUGGGCUUGCAGCCGAUACGGGCGGGCUAGAGUUCGGUAGGGGAGACUGGAAUUCCUGGUGUAGCGGUGAAAUGCGCAGAUAUCAGGAGGAACACCGGUGGCGAAGGCGGUUCUCUGGGCAUGUACUGACGCUGAGGAGCGAAAGCGUGGGGAGCGAACAGG
rnacentral:rRNA from 1 species